AAGUCGUAACAAGGUCUCCGUAGGUGAACCUGCGGAGGGAUCCUCACAUUGCAAACGCUUUGUAUACCAAUACUCAACUCAACGCGAACCGUAACGUCCCUAUCUAUUGUGGAUGGUGAGUACUUCAUUGUGCUUGCUUGAAAUCAGUAUGAUAGACAAUACCCCCCGAGUACAUCUUAUCGGAUUCAUUCGAUAAGUGGACUCUUCUACUCACCACUUUUAACCUAUAAUGAAUGAAUUGUCUUAUCCUUAACUUCAGCUAGCUUAGCCAAAGAGACGCCUUGUGUGUCUAUUGCGGUUGAAAGGCUUGAAUUUACGAAAUAAUGAACAACUCUUAGUAAUGGAUAUCUUGGGUCAA
rnacentral:misc_RNA from 1 species